UAUUAGCUAAGAUGGUCAGGGAUGCAACCUUAUGCUCUGAGUGUCCCCAAACCUCUGACUGCCAUAAACUGGGACUGGAUGACAGGGGAGGGAUCACUCAAUGAUU